UUUAACUGAAAAAUUAACUCGUCCUUAAAGAAUAUAUAAAUCUAAUAAAAUGUUCCUUAAAGAUGUUGAAAAUAUGAUGAUUAUUCAAUAAUUGAUAGGAAAAUUAUUUACUGGGAAAUAUCAUGGUUUAAUUUGGAUCUCAUCUGAUCUCCAUCUAAAGUACUCCAAACCAGAUCAAUUCAUUCUUCAAAGGAAAUUUAGAAAGGACAAAAAAAAAAAAAAAAAUCAAGAAUAAGUAUAAAAGCGUGAGACAGAGAGAGGAUAACAGAGAGAGACGCAGAAAAAAGCAUUUGUAAUCUGAAAAUAAGAAAUAAUAUAAACAACAUAACAAGCUUGCACAAGAGUGUAAAUGCUAUCUUAAGUCUGAAAAUUUUCCCUUCUGGCCGUCCAAUGAAACAGUCAGAGAAAGCCACUGCAUAAUCCAUGCCGCACAACAGAUGAUGUUCACACUAUCAACCUUAGGAUUCACUAUUCAAGUCAGCAUAUUAGUGUUA
rnacentral:misc_RNA from 1 species